GACGAACGCUGGCGGCGUGCUUAACACAUGCAAGUCGAACGGUAAGGCCCUUCGGGGUACACGAGUGGCGAACGGGUGAGUAACACGUGGGUGAUCUGCCCUGCACUUUGGGAUAAGCCUGGGAAACGGGGUCUAAUACCGGAUAGGACAAUGCGCUUCACGGUGUGUGGUGGAAAGCUUUUGCGGUGGGGGAUGGGCCCGCGGCCUAUCAGCUUGUUGGUGGGGUAAUGGCCUAACAAGGCGACGACGGGUAGCCGGCCUGGGAGGGUGAACGGCCACACUGGGACUGAGAUACGGCCCAGACUCCUACGGGAGGCAGCAUGGGGAAAUAUUGCACAAUGGGCGCAAGCCUGAUGCAGCGACGCCGCGUGAGGGAUGGCGGCCUUCGAGUUGUAAACCUCUUUCAGUAGGGACGAAGCGCAAGUGACGGUACCUACAGAAGAAGGACCGGCCAACUACGUGCCAGCCGCCGCCGUAA
rnacentral:rRNA from 1 species